rnacentral:rRNA from 1 species
AGUGAACGCUGGCGGCAGGCCUAACACAUGCAAGUCGAGCGGCAGCGCGGGGGCAACCCUGGCGGCGAGCGGCGGACGGGUGAGGAAUACAUCGGAAUCUACCCAGUCGUGGGGGACAACGUAGGGAAACUUACGCUAAUACCGCAUACGACCUGAGGGUGAAAGCGGCGGACCGCAAGGCGUCGCGCGAUUGGAUGAGC